rnacentral:rRNA from 1 species
GGAGUUAGCCGGUGCUUCUUCUGUGAGUGAUGUCCUUCCUGCCGGCUAUUAACCCGCAGGCCUUCUUCCUCACUGAAAGUGCUUUACAACCCGAAGGCCUUCUUCACACACGCGGCAUGGCUGGAUCAGGGUUGCCCCCAUUGUCCAAUAUUCCCCACUGCUGCCUCCCGUAGGAGUCUGGGCCGUGUCUCAGUCCCAGUGUGGCUGAUCAUCCUCUCAGACCAGCUACGGAUCGUCGCCUUGGUGAGCCGUUACCUCACCAACCAGCUAAUCCGACAUAGGCUCAUCCGAUAGCGCGAGGCCCGAAGGUCCCCCGCUUUCCCCCGUAGGGCGUAUGCGGUAUUAGCCUGGGGUUUUCCCCCAGGGUUUAUCCCCCGACUACCGGGGUCAGAUUCCUAUGCAUUACUCACCCGUCCGCCGCUCGCCACCAGGGAGCAAGCUCCCCGUGCUGCCGCUCGACUUGCAUGUGUUAGGCCUGCCGCCAGCGUUCAAUCUGAGCCAUAAUCAAACUCUGA